AUGUCAAAACCGGUUCACCAAAACAUCACAAAAAUAAUGUUAUGUAUCAGUUCAAAUAAUAAAAUUGCAGAGAGAAUCAAAUCAAAAAGUAUCAAAAUCCCCUUCUACUGCUGCAUCAGUUAUAGAGAAAAUAUUAGAAAAAAAACCAGAGGCAAAAGUUCAAUUACAGCUCAGCAAAGCUUUGAAAGCAACUUUCAUUUCUAA